rnacentral:rRNA from 1 species
AGAGUUUGAUCAUGGCUCAGGAUGAACGCUAGCUACAGGCUUAACACAUGCAAGUCGAGGGGAAACGACAUCGAAAGCUUGCUUUUGAUGGGCGUCGACCGGCGCACGGGUGAGUAACGCGUAUCCAACCUGCCCACCACUUGAGGAUAACCUUGCGAAAGUAAGACUAAUACCCAAUGACGUCUCUAGAAGACAUCUGAAGGAGAUUAAAGAUUUAUCGGUGAUGGAUGGGGAUGCGUCUGAUUAGCUUGUUGGCGGGGUAACGGCCACCAAGGCGACGAUCAGUAGGGGUUCUGAGAGGAAGGUCCCCACAUUGGAACUGAGGACACGGUCCAAACUCCUACGGGGAGCA